UGCCCGGUCGGACAUGCCUGGAAUCCAGACAGAGGGCAGCUUAUAAGUGGACAUACCUCUGGUUACUUAGUAGUGGCUUGGCAGUUUUCCCCUAAACUCAGUACAAACUGAGCAGAAGUUCAUCCUACUACACAUGAGCUCAAUGUUGCAAACAGACAAAGUUCUGUAUUUGAGGCAGAGCUAAUGAGAAACCGGACCCUGUGGCUGAAGUACACAUUUCCUUGACUUGAUGAAGCCUCGUAUAUAAUGACAAUGGAAUUAUCAGGUUAAGGUUUCGUCCGUGGAUUUGACUGAAGAUUCUAAUACUGAACCUCAUAGUGCACACAAUGUCUCUUGUUCAAAAUACAAGAUUAACCUCCACAACUUACUUUAAACCAGGUAGGAUUUCCUGCUUCGCUCCUGGUUCCUGUUUCCCAAAUUGGUUGGAGGGAAAGCCAAGAAUAGUGUCCUACCUUGACGAAGACGCCUUCGGCUCCGUCAGCAUCGCAGGGCCGCAGCAGUGAGAACAGCAGCAGCGGUAAAAGGCUCCACAUCCUCCCACCGUCUCCAGCCAUUAGUGACGAGACUGAUGUGUCGUCCGCUCCCUCGGGAUUUAUACCGACCUCAGGUGGGAGGGAUCCGGGUGCAGCUGACACUGAUGAGAUCCUGCUGUGACGUUCUGUGUCAUCAAGGAAGGAAAGGAGAGAAGGAGGUGAAAAGGGAUAAAAUGAAAGAACAGGGGAAGAAAUAAAGGCGAUAGGAAGGGAGAGAGAAAUAAAAGUAAGACAGAAAGAGGAAAGGAAUGGAACCGAAGGAAGGAACAAAGAAAGAAAUAGAAGCAAAAGCAAGCAGAUCGGUAGAAUAAAACAGCAGUAAAGAAAUACAUGAAAGAAAGAAAACGAAUGAAAAGUAGAAGUAUUCUUCGUGAACCUCCAUUACUGCUUAUCGACAACAUUUGUCCAACUUUGUGACACUAAUUUCUAAAUUUAUAUAUUAAAGAUACUCAAUGGUAAAUAGCGGUAUAUUGCAUUUCUAGAAACGGUUGAUGUGGAAGUGGUCUGUAAAAGAUAGCGAUUUCUGCUAUAAUUAAUACCAGGGAGCUAUAAUCAAUGUACAGUGUUUAUGUUUAGGUGUUUCUGAUGUCGGGGCGAUUUUAGACCUGAGGUUCAACUUGUCUUUGAUGCCUGUAAUGCCCUGAUGGCGGUGCUGUGACCUGAAAUGUGAUUUUUCUUUCCCUUCAAAAUAAAAAUAUAU